CUACGGGUGCUCCAGUGGGGAAUAUUGCACAAUGGGCGCAAGCCUGAUGCAGCCAUGCCGCGUGUAUGAAGAGGGCCUUCGGGUUGUAAAGUACUUUCAGCGGGGAGGAAGGGAGUAAAGUUAAUACCUUUGCUCAUUGACGUUACCCGCAGAAGAAGCACCGGCUAACUCCGUGCCAGCAGCCGCGGUAAUACGGAGGGUGCAAGCGUUAAUCGGAAUUACUGGGCGUAAAGCGCACGCAGGCGGUUUGUUAAGUCAGAUGUGAAAUCCCCGGGCUCAACCUGGGAACUGCAUCUGAUACUGGCAAGCUUGAGUCUCGUAGAGGGGGGUAGAAUUCCAGGUGUAGCGGUGAAAUGCGUAGAGAUCUGGAGGAAUACCGGUGGCGAAGGCGGCCCCCUGGACGAAGACUGACGCUCAGGUGCGAAAGCGUGGGGAGCAAACAGGAUUAGAUACCCUUGUAGUC
rnacentral:rRNA from 1 species